AUUAUUGCCUCUUGAAAAAUUUACAAUGUGAUGAAACUGAAUGGUGGUCUUAGCAGAAGAGGCUUGGCACAUUGCUCUACUAUAUGCAUUUUAGGCUUUUCUUCAGUCUAUGAUAAAAUUUUCCAAAUUCAAAGAAAGAUUGGAAAGAUGUACUGCUUCAGUCUGUAAUCACACAUCAACAUCAAUCUGUUUUUAGCUGGCAGAGAUGUUCAGUGAUUUAUCUGACCAAGCACUGUAGAAGAUCAGGUGACAUGUUCUAGAACAGGGGUCUCCAACCAUGGCAACUUCAAGGAAACGUUUUAGGAAGAGGAUGCUAAUCAGCACUAUCGCCCUCUUAAGAUGCAGAGUGCUUAAUUAAAUGAGAAUAGAAACUCUACCCUUAGCAACCCAAUGUACUGCUGGAAUCUUGAGAGGAACAUUAACAGAGUGUGAAGAGAAUGCCAAGUAAGAGUUAAGUAUAUUUCACAAAUGGGCUCUGAGAAGCAGGGGAGCUUUCUCAUUGAAUGCAUUCUCCAUCCACCUGAUGCCAGCAUGCCUGCUGAUUGUAAUAAUCCAUGUUAUUCAUUUGGAAAAAACAGGCUGAAUAAGUCUGGGAUUUAGUCCUAAUAGCUCAAAAUGUCAAAAAAA